GAUGAACGCUGGCGGCGUGCCUAAUACAUGCAAGUCGAGCGAACAGACGAGGAGCUUGCUCCUCUGACGUUAGCGGCGGACGGGUGAGUAACACGUGGAUAACCUACCUAUAAGACUGGGAUAACUUCGGGAAACCGGAGCUAAUACCGGAUAAUAUAUUGAACCGCAUGGUUCAAUAGUGAAAGACGGUUUUGCUGUCACUUAUAGAUGGAUCCGCGCCGCAUUAGCUAGUUGGUAAGGUAACGGCUUACCAAGGCGACGAUGCGUAGCCGACCUGAGAGAGUGGUCGGCCACACUGGAACUGAGACACGGUCCAGACUCCUACGGGAGGCAGCAGUAGGGAAUCUUCCGCAAUGGGCGAGAGCCUGACGGGGCAACGCCGCGUGAGUGAUGAAGGUCUUCGGAUCGUUAAACUCUGUUAUUAGGGAAGAACAAAUGUGUAAGUAACUGUGCACGUCUUGACGGUACCUAAUCAGAAAGCCACGGCUAACUACGUG
rnacentral:rRNA from 1 species